GAGGCCAAUGGGGGAGGAGGAGGAGGGCCACCCGGAGUGUUGGAACCCAAGACCCAGGAGUCCACAGCUCCCUCACACUGAGGAGCUCUGAGAACCUCGCUCUGGCCACAGUGGCAGGGACGAUGGCCAGCAAAGUGGACAUCUCCUGCCGGCCCUUCCCCACAUCGCCUGGUUCCCCCCUUCCCACUCGCAUGUUACGAGUUGAGGUAAAGUACGCUGAUGAAUCCAAUAAACCAAGGUUUGGACAACACCAGGCAAUUCAGAGAGCAGCCUCAGAGCCAGAAUCUCACAUAACCUCGAAGCUGCCUUGCUGGGCAGGUCUCGCUGUUACUACUCGGAAGAGUAGAGGAGUAAAGGUCAGAGCAUUUAUAAUACACGUGAUAUACUGCAUACUGCAUGUCUGCUCAGCGGCUCAAUUGUGUUCAACUCUUUGCGACCCUUCGGACUGUGGCUCCUCUGUCCAUGGGAUUCUCCAGGGAACAUGGACCAUGGAACCAACACAUGCAUGAACAUCCCUGACAAUGGGCUCCCUGUGCACUCAGCCGACCCAGCCAUCCCUCCAGCGGCCACGCCACAGAGGGAGCCCAUGGCAGCCCCACAGAUGAACAACAUAAGGCUGCCUCUCCUUCUCUAGAGAUCUACAGCUCCUGGAAUCUGCCAGGGCAGGUGACUCCUGGCAACUGUGCUGGUGUCCCUCCCCUUGUACACUCCUCGUGACGUGCGCCCUGCGUUCUCAGGCCUCAGGGGAUCUGGGGCCUCAAACAAGGACUAAGAACAAAGAAGGGUCAGGGAUGUGAGCCAGGUGUCAAUAAAAGGCAGAUGAAAGAUGUUUUUAAUGAA